UACGGGGGGGGCAAGCGUUGUUCGGAAUUACUGGGCGUAAAGGGUUCGUAGGUGGCGUACUAAGUCAGACGUGAAAUCCCCAGGCUCAACUUGGGAACUGCGUCUGAUACUGGAUGGCUUGAAUUCGGGAGAGGGAUGCAGAAUUCCAGGUGUAGCGGUGAAAUGCGUAGAUAUCUGGAGGAAUACCGGUGGCGAAGGCGGCAUCCUGGACCGAGAUUGACGCUGAGGAGCGAAAGCCAGGGGAGCAAACGGG
rnacentral:rRNA from 1 species